rnacentral:rRNA from 1 species
ACCUCGAGCGUUACUCGGAUUUACUGGGCGUAAAGGGUCCGUAGGCGUCCAGGUGUGUCGGGUGUGAAAUCUUGCGGCUUAACCGUAAGCGUGCGCCCGAAACUACCUGGCUUGAGUUCGGGAGAGGCGAGUGGAAUUUCCGGUGUAGCGGUGAAAUGCGUAGAUAUCGGAAGGAACACCAACGGCGAAGGCAGCUCGCUGGACCGACACUGACGCUGAGGGACGAAAGCGUGGGGAGCGAAAGGGAUUAGAUACCCCUGUAGUCCACGCCGUAAACGUUGUGCACUCGCCAUUGGGGGUUUCGACCCCUUCAGUGGCUUAGCUAACGCGAUAAGUGCACCGCCUGAGGACUACGGCCGCAAGGCUAAAACUCAAAGGAAUUGACGGGUCCCCGCACAAGCGGUGGAGCAUGUGGCUUAAUUCGAUGCAACGCGAAGAACCUUACCAGGUCUUGACAUGUGGAGGACAGGUGCUGAAAGGCACCCUCUCUUCGGAGCCUCUUCACAGGUGCUGCAUGGCUGUCGUCAGCUCGUGUCGUGAGAUGUUCGGUUAAGUCCGUCAACGAGCGCAACCCCUGUCCUUAGUUGCCAGCAUUCAGUUGGGGACUCUAGGGAGACAACCUGCUUUUGCAGGGGGAAGGUGGGGAUGAUGUCAAGUCAGUAUGGCCCUUACGACCUGGGCUGCACACGUGCUACAAUGCCCGGUACAAUGGGAUGCAAUACCGCGAGGUGGAGCUAAUCCUCAAAGCCGGGCUCAGUUCAGAUUGGAGUCUGUAACUCGACUCCAUGAAGCUGGAAUCGCUAGUAAUGGUACAUCAGCUACGGUACCGUGAAUACGUUCCCGGGGAUUGUACACACCGCCCGUCACGUCAUGAAAGCCGGUCUCGCCCGAAGUGCGUGCGCCAACCGCAAGGAAGCAGCGCCCGACGGUGAGGCUGGUGAUUGGGAUGAAGUCGUAACAAGGUAACCAAG